UCAAUACAAAGGCACCUUGCUCUGCACUUCUCUCCAUACAUAUGUGUGUGGGGGUGGCAUAACAUGGCGUGGUGAAUAGCCUUAACAAUCAGCAGGGGCGGGAGGGAGAGGUUGAUACAGAGGCAACCGUUGCAUAGUGCCCCGUUGGAAAUGACGCAGUGCAAAAGACAAAGGUGGCACAAACAAUGCGUAGAAGAGCUGAUUGAUAACAAGGAACGGGACGACAGGUGCACGACAAGAACAUUUACCGUUUGCGGUGUGAUCAACAGCUGUGUGAGUGACAGAGCAAGGGGCAGAGUGAGAGUGCGAGAGUGUAACCUCAGGACUUGGAGACAACGCAAUUUGUUGAACUUUAAUGCGUAGCAAUCCCCCCCAGCUCUUGUUUGCUUGGUUUGCAGGGGGGUUGGUUGGUUGCUUCUUCCUGAUUCCUGAUGUUGAUGCUGAAUCCCAAUUGCAAUUGUUUAAAUUAACCCAGUGGGAUGCGAUGCCCUCACCCCCCUGCUGAUGAUAGAGUGAAACCUGAAUGCGCCAUCAUUAGCAGCAGGCCGUGAAAGUAUUGCAGUCGUGUGGGGUUAAGGAGGGAGGAAACUCCGGUUAACCGAUGCACCACCAACAACACCCCUCUAUAGGAAGAGUCGUCGUCGGCGUCGUCAUGAUUAACAAAAACAGUUGAUUGAACUUUGUUUGGCCUCCACACACGCAUCCACACAUCUACAAGUUCCAUCGCGUUUGCUCGCGUCUGUAGCUGUGGCCGUGUCGCCUGUGCUCUUGAACUGCCCCACUUUGCCCACGUUUGUGUGGGGCUCAUAAUAUAUUUUCGGGUGUUAAUGACCAGUAAAUGCGUUCGCUUCGCACAUUGCACACUCAUGGAAAGUCCAGCAGCAAAUGUGUUUCAAAGAUUGUUCCUUGGAAGUCAAAUACAAUGGAAGUUCAUCCAAGUGAUUGACAGGGAAGCCCCAAAAGCAGGAUCUGCUCUUCUCUGAAUUCACAGCGGUUAACUUUUGAGUAGCCUUUGCACCACUGUGACUUGUAUUGGCUUAAUGAAUCAUCAUGAUUUGAGAUGAAUUACUUUUCAAUGGUGGGCGUAUGGUAAACGCCCUGAUAAUUGUUCCAUAAGUAAACUGUGAUCAUCUCUGUGUAAGCAGAGUGUGGAAUCUUAGAUCUGUUAAGUCUGUGCCAUAAAUUCCCUAUUGGCCUCACUGUGCCUCAUCACAGAAUGAGAUGUAUUGCUUUUUAAGGGUGGGCGUAUGGUCAAC